GAAUGCUUCUGAGAUAGUAUUUCUUCUUCCCCUCGCUCUAUGUUUAUCUUCCUAAAAAAAGCUUAGUGCAGUCCGCUUAUUUUGAAAAUGGGUGGCAUUAGGAAAUAAGCACAUUGCUGCAACACGACACCAAGUCCUUUUACCAAGCCAAUGUGGGAAUCAAUAAACGGCUUAGAGCUGCAAGACGGCAGUCACAUGAAGUUGGAUUGUGCUCUGCAUGCAGCGGCAAGUACGCUCGGGCAUCCCGGUUUCUUGGCGGAGUCGACGAAAGGAGCAGCGAGUUAGGUCAGGGCCGUUACUGGGAUACCGUCAAUUAUGAC
rnacentral:lncRNA from 1 species